AGCGGGUCGGAGAAGGGCUGGAGGCAGGGCCGCCGUUUGGAAUAGAGUGGCUGCAGGGCCCGAGCGCAGAGCAAACGGAGAAUUGACGGCAGCGGCGGCGGCCGCCGCAGCAGCGAAGGGGUUUGGCCGGUCGUAACUCCUUUGUUGGUGGCCGUUUUGCCUUUGACACCUGGUCUAGGAAAUGCCUUAAUUGGACCUCCUCCAUUUCGAGCCUCCAACAUUGUUUUGUGCUUAGAUCCUGGUCUAACUGCUGGUGAGUCAGUAUCCUGGCAAAAACUACACCAUGAAGACAAAAGAACACUCCAAGCAACUCCACGAAAAGGUUAUUGAAAAGCAC